AAAAACGAACAGUCUCAGUUCGGAUUGAAGGCUGAAAUUUGCCUUCAUGAAGCCGGAAUUGCUAGUAAUGGCAGGUCAGCAUACUGCCGUGAAUACGUUCCCGGGCCUUGUACACACCGCCCGUCACACCAUGAGAGUUGGGGAUACCCGAAGCCUGUGAGCUAACUUUUAGAGGCAGCAGUCGAAGGUAGAAUCAAUGAUUGGGGUGAAGUCGUAACAAGGUACC
rnacentral:rRNA from 1 species